rnacentral:rRNA from 1 species
UACGUAGGUCCCAAGCGUUGUUCGGAUUCACUGGGCGUAAAGGGUGCGUAGGCGGUCGGGUAAGUCUGAUGUGAAAUCUCACAGCUUAACUGUGAAACUGCAUUGGAUACUAUCCGGCUCGAGGAAUGGAGGGGAGACUGGAAUACUUGGUGUAGCAGUGAAAUGCGUAGAUAUCAAGUGGAACACCAGUGGCGAAGGCGAGUCUCUGGACAUUUCCUGACGCUGAGGCACGAAAGCCAGGGGAGCAAACGGG